CUCUGCAGUGCCUUGCCUGCUCCCUCCCUGGGUUGGUUUCUGUUGCUGGGACAGGAAACAUCUUUUUUGUCAAGGAGAGAGUUAGUGGUCCUUUGCUACCCUUUGAGCACAGCCCAGACCUUUGAGAAUAUUCUACCAAGAUGAAGAAAAAGAAUCAUUCCAAUGGGUAUUUCAGAGAUUCUGCUGGCAGGUGCUUUUCUGCUUCCACACAGGCUCAAUCCUGACAUGACUGUUGACUUCAGUAAAGUCACUUUAGGGGCAGCACUACUGGGAAGCAGCAGGAAUCCUCCUGCAAGAGAUGAGAAUUCAUGUCAGGAUGACACUGCUGAGGAUUCAGAUAGAUACAUCAACACAGACAAGCCUCUACACUCUGUGAAUCUCUCAUGAACAAGGCCUUACCCCAUUCAUUGUCUUAGGAAACAGUCCUGCUGACUUCAGACACAUCAGAAUAAGCUUCUGUUUUUCCAGCUUUACAUAUUACAUUGCUGAAGUGUUUGAUGAAUGGGAUGCUGUGCAGCUGAAAGAUCACACGUCUCAAAUGGCUCACUUGGCGUUCUCAGACUGAACUGACUGGCAGAGUUGCAGCUCUCUGACAAGGAGAAUGGCUGCUUUUCUCUCAGAAGAGCACUGUAACUCUUAAAUGCAAUGUAAAGGCAAGAUAUUAUAUACACAUAUGAGUGUGGCUGUCUAUAUACACAUGUAUAUGUGUGUGGAUAUAUGUGUUUUUGGAAUGAAAAGCCACUCUGUCUUCCUGUAAUUGCACUGGAAAUGUUCAGUUUGUCAGUGUGACUUUUUUCCCUGUUAGCAAUGAAAUUUGGCCAGGAGUCCUAGCAUGCCAUGAGAAAUCAAGCCAUGACCACAUUAAGCAUGAAUGGCAGGGCAAGGUUAAAGCCUGUAACACUAUGCUGGGGUGACCUGUUGCAGAGUUAGAGGCUGAGGUGUGAGGCUGGGUCACAUAACUAUUUGCAAGUGAAGCACAAAAUGAAGCUCAAAGCUGCUUUGACUAUUUACUCUUUCAAGAGGCAUUUAGUGAGUAUUUUUUAUUUUGAAAGCAUAUUUAGAGAACUUCAGCUGCAGGGCUUGUAGCCAACCUUCAGAAAUCAAACCAGAAUAUUUCUUAAUUUUACCUACAAGUACACUCAUGGCAUAUUCCUGCUUUACUUUUCAAUGAUUUCAAAAGCUUUUUUACAAACUCAUGUACAAAGAGACUGCUGAGAAGCAUCUGAGGAAGAUGGAGAUGUUCAGCUGCAGUGAAAUAAAGCAUGGGAUCACCCAGGAGUAGGCUGGUGGAUCUUUCCUGUAAUCAGCUCUGGAGUUGUUCUACUGAGCAGAAAGUUAGACAUUCUCUUAAAGAAGAAAAAGGGGAGGUGCCAGGGAAUUGUUUGCACCACCUAUAAACUUUCUGCCCUAAAUCUGUCUCCUGAAAUACUGAAUAGAAUGCAGAUGGAAAAAACAAAACAGACAAAACAAAACAAAGAUAUUUUUGAUUUUGAAGACUUCUUAUUAAUUUGUCUUUACCAUUUUUUUAAAAAAAAAUUGAUUUAUUUUGCUUACUAGACCCUUUAGCCCAAGAGGUACGUUUGAAUGCAACUUCGAAGGGAAUUUGGCUCA